rnacentral:rRNA from 1 species
GACGAACGCUGGCGGCGUGCCUAAUACAUGCAAGUUGAGCGCUGAAGGUUGGUACUUGUACCAACUGGAUGAGCAGCGAACGGGUGAGUAACGCGUGGGGAAUCUGCCUUUGAGCGGGGGACAACAUUUGGAAACGAUUGCUAAUACCGCAUAAAAACUUUAAACACAAGUUUUAAGUUUGAAAGAUGCAAUUGCAUCACUCAAAGAUGAUCCCGCGUUGUAUUAGCUAGUUGGUGAGGUAAAGGCUCACCAAGGCGAUGAUACAUAGCCGACCUGAGAGGGUGAUCGGCCACAUUGGGACUGAGACACGGCCCAAACUCCUACGGGAGGCAGCAGUAGGGAAUCUUCGGCAAUGGACGAAAGUCUGACCGAGCAACGCCGCGUGAGUGAAGAAGGUUUUCGGAUCGUAAAACUCUGUUGGUAGAGAAGAACGUUGGUGAGAGUGGAAAGCUCAUCAAGUGACGGUAACUACCCAGAAAGGGACGGCUAACUACGUG